rnacentral:rRNA from 1 species
CUCUACCUACGGGAGGCAGCAGUGAGGAAUAUUGGUCAAUGGGCGCGGGCCUGAACCAGCCAUGCCGCGUGCAGGACGACGGCUCUAUGAGUUGUAAACUGCUUUUGUACCGGGGUAAAAUGCCUUACGAGUAGGGUUUUGAAAGUACGGUACGAAUAAGGAUCGGCUAACUCCGUGCCAGCAGCCGCGGUAAUACGGAGGAUCCGAGCGUUAUACGGAUUCAUUGGGUCUAAAGGGUGCGUAGGUUGUUUUAUAAGUUAGCGGUGAAAUACCGAUGCUCAACAUCGGGGCUGCCGCUAAUACUG